AGCAUUUACAUCUGGAUGUCAGUGCCACCAGCGUUAUUUAUAGAGGAGACCCGCAAUUAACAUUUUGCGAGUAACAGAGGAAGGAGGAGGGGGAGAUAGAGAAAGGCACAGUUUACUGCAAAGGUGUUCUGACUAUUGUUCUGCAUUUCUGAGCACUUAACUGUACCCUGUUUGAAAUGAUGAUUCUCCCCUUUACAGGAAUAUACCCCUUUCACGGCACUCUCGCAUCCACCGGCACACUGAAGUCUCCGAAGAUUGUGAGCUGCAGGCUGAGAAUUCAUGCAGAAGCCCUGGGGAAUAUAUAACUAAUUUAUUGGAUGACCAGAAUGCUUACAAGACUGUAACAUGGAGACAAGCUUUGGAACCACCGAAAGAGAACAUGGCCAGUGGGGAGAUGGAAGAAAACUGCUCACUUCUCCAGUAGUCACUCCCAACUUAAGUUUUCCCUUGCCAACAGGACCUGAUUUUUGUUCCCAUAUUAAAUGACCUUGUGCACAAAGAGGCAGGGACUCUCCCAGUCCACAGAACCAAAUAAUAAAUGCUCCAGGUCAGCCACAGUAUUUGCAUUUUCUCUGAUAAUAAUUAACUUGAGAGUAUGACUCCGAUGCAACUAAGAGAAUGGGAAAAAUAUUUAUCUUUGAGGAAGAACAUGGAAAAGAUUCUUCCUAUUAAGAGAAGAGUUUUUUGAGAAGAAACAGUUAUUUUCGUAUGUAGAAAUGUUAUAAAAGUAUGUAGAGACCUCGGAGAAGAGUAGGCAUAAGAUAAUGAUCACAACUAACAAUAAUGGAAUAAAGAAAGAAAUUGAGGUUUGCUGAUGAUUUGUGCUAAAUAUUAAUAAACCUUAACAUCAAUAUAUCUUUUGGCUUUAUUUUUACUUAUCAUUUAUGUUGCUUUAUUGGAUAUUUCUGAAAUUUAUUUAAAAAGUGUUUAAUAAUUAAAUCUUAAUUUUGGAUUAAAUUUCCCAAGGCACAUAGUACAUGCUAGUUUAGGAAAUAAUGAUCAAUGCCAAACUUGUGCAUUGUUCCUGAAGAAAGUGUGAUGGAUAUUUGGCAAAAAUGAUAGUUUUCUUCUAUGGACACAACUCAAAAGAUAAAGAAUUUAUUUCAAAAGUUUAAUUACUUUUGAUUAACUUGACAUAGAUCUAUUAUAAAAUUUUACUAACAUUCUUUUUUAACCUUUGGAUAUGUUUUCCAGGAUCAUUUAAGAUAUUCAUAAGACGAAGUAUAUAUACUAGCUCCACUGUUAUUGACUCAAAGACUUCAAGCGGUGAGCGCUGACAGUCAGACUGAGGCUACAUCUCCCUUUGCAGUCAGGCCUGGGGCUGCCCUGGCUCCAGCUUUGUGUGGCUGCAUCCUGCUACUAGUAAGAGCCUGUUGAGAAUUGAUGCCAACAGCUCCCCAGCUGCCUCAUGUUAAUGUAAUCAGCAAGAAGCCUGCACACCUGACGGUAGUUCAGAAUAUGAGGUGAAUGAUUAAAGUUUAAAAGGUCGUAUCCAUUGUAAUACUGAAAAGAAACUUUAUGAUUCAUCAUUUCUGAUGUAAUGUCAUCUGUUUAAUAAAGCUGUAUUUCACUCGCAGCUCGUUUUUAAUGG